rfam:Pseudomonas batumici strain TCM B-321 Contig_22, whole genome shotgun sequence.
AUGCUGAAGGGGUGUCCUGCUGACGUUGUCGGCAACAGGCCCAGGUAGCCCGGAUCUAAAAGGCUACGACGCGAUGAUCGCGUUGAUCACCACCCGACCGCUCUCGCAUUCAUCACCGCGGUCAGUCGUCAGAACCGUUGACGACCGAAUGC